rnacentral:rRNA from 1 species
UACAGAGGGGGCAAGCGUUGUUCGGAAUUACUGGGCGUAAAGGGCGCGUAGGCGGCCUUCUAAGUCGAACGUGAAAUCCCUGGGCUCAACCCAGGAACUGCGUCCGAUACUGGAAGGCUUGAAUCCGGGAGAGGGAUGCGGAAUUCCAGGUGUAGCGGUGAAAUGCGUAGAUAUCUGGAGGAACACCGGUGGCGAAGGCGGUUGCCUGGAGCUUUGCUGACGCUGAUGCGCGAAAGCGUGGGGAGCGAUCCGG